CCUGUACUUUGGUGAAGCACUCACACUCUGACACAGGAAGCUCAAGACUUCAUAAACCUGCCUGGAGCCAGGCUGAAAGAGACUAACACUGAAAUCACUUGGACAACUGCUACAAUAAAAAAGCACCAGUUCAGCUUGAUGGAAUGGAAAUCCAACACUCUCUCCAAGAUACUUAUCCAGCCAUGAUGGCAUCCAGAUGCACUGGGCUGGACCCACCGCGGUGCUACAUUGGUGCCCAAAUGUUCCACAUGGCUCAAGACCACAUCGGCCUCGUUGGAUCAUCACAUCACCCACUGCAUCACCUCUGUUCCUUGGUGGCUAUGGAGAUCCAUGCAAGUGCAUUGCAAUCGCCUAUUGUGUCUGUGAUGUCAGAAUGGGAGCCAUAUGUGACCAGCAAGAAGGAUAUUCAGUUGAUGUGUUCUGUCAUGAAUACUCAGUAAGAGAUGAAAAGUGGGAUUCACAGUUUUUAGGACCUUGAUAUCUGCUGAGGUUUGAUUUUGUGGAUCCAAAAAUCCAUGAAUGGUCAAGAAUGGGCCGGGCUGUGGCGCAGGCUGGUAAACAGCUGCUGUAAUAAAUCACUCUGACCAUGAGGUCAUGAGUUCGAGGCCAGCCCAUGGCAGGGUGAGCACCCGUCAAUUAAAAAUAAAAUAUAGCCUCUGCUCAUUGCUGACCUAGUAACCCGAAAGAUAGUUGCAUCUAUCAAGUAGGAAAUAAGGUACCACUUAUAAAAAAGUGGGGAGGCAAGUUUAACUAAUUUACAACGUUGGAAUGAGGAAGUGAGGAAGUGCCAUCAGAGUGGCCAGAAUCGAACAUCCCCUCAGGAGAAGGUUAAAUUGCCUCUGCGUCUGUCUGUCUGUUGUCUCUGUCUCGAUGUGUUUAUGUGUUUAUGGGCACUAUCUCGAUGUGUUUAUGGGCAUUGAAUGUUUGCCCAAUAUGUACAUAAUGUGAGCCGCCCUGAGUCCCCUUCGGGGUGAGAAGGGCAGAAUAUAAAUACUGUAAAUAAAUAAAUAAAUAAAUAAAUAAAAUAUA